UAUUUUGUCAGAGUUGAAGGUUUCUAAAAGUUAAAAUGUCUUUUCUAUCUUUAUAGACUCUCCUUAUCACUAGAUUGGAGUUUAUCAAUUCAAGUUCGCUAAUCACAGAAGAAAAAGAUGAAGCCGGAGAAGGAUGACUAAAUGAGAAAACUGAAGCACCAGGUGGUUAAGGAACUUGCUCAAGGUCAUGGAGACCAGAAGGCAAACCCAGACAGGCUGGAUCGGGUCCACAUUUGCAACCACAGCACGACACUAUUGGAGAGGAGCUUCAAAUAAAGGUGAUACUGCUCCUUUGACUGCAAAGGUUUUGAAGAGCAGAAAACUAUGCAAGGACAUGAUGCCCCAAAGACACCAGCACAACAGAAUAUCUGUAACUUGGGUAGAAGAACCAAAAACAUAACAGAGACUGUGGAAUUUCUAAACCAAAGGACGAGUAAGAGCCUAUUUUAAGGGUUAUUGGGAGAAGUCAAAGAAAUCUGUUAAGUGCUUUUCAGAAAAAGACUCCUGUGUGUAAGUGCUAAAUUUAUCAUAAGUAAUGAACAAUAAAUAAAAUUGAAAUACUUCCC